rnacentral:rRNA from 1 species
UACGUAGGGACCGAGCGUUGUCCGGAUUCAUUGGGCGUAAAGAGCUCGUAGGCGGCUGUUCAAGUCGAACGUGAAAACUCGGGGCUCAACUCCGAGCCUGCGUUCGAUACUGGCAGACUAGAGUUCGGUAGGGGAGACUGGAAUUCCUGGUGUAGCGGUGAAAUGCGUAGAUAUCGAGAGGAACACCUGCGGCGAAGGCGGGUUGCUGGGCUGACACUGACGCUGAUGCGCGAAAGCUAGGGGAGCGAACGGG